rnacentral:lncRNA from 1 species
GCUCCUACGUAUCUCCAGGUGCUAUGAAGAACUCAAGGCAAACGUAGUUCUGCCCAAAGAGAACUACUGGGUGGAUUGCUUUUAAAGAGAGUGAUGCUUGGAUCACAUUUGAGCGAUUAAACCUUUAUAGUUCUGCCCAAAGAGAACUACUGGGUGGAUUGCUUUUAAAGAGAGUGAUGCUUGGAUCACAUUUGAGCGAUUAAACCUUUACUUGUUGCUCGCUCUUGGAGGCUGAAGUCUUUGUUUGUUUCGCAUCCAAAUGGAUGUUGCAUACUCUUUUCUGAAAAUGUUU